UGGUUAGUUAUAACAACAGCGAUGGCGGCUGCUGCACGGUUCUUCGUCCGAGGCGCACACUCGAAACUUUCCAUCUCUGGCGUUGGCACCGGCCCUCAGAUCUCUUUUGCCGCCACCCUGCUGAAACUGUCGCCGGGCUCCAGCUCCCGUACAAAAACACAACGGAGACAUGUCGCGCACUUUACCUUCCAGCCUGACCCCGAACCCACACAGUAUGGCCCCACCGAGAAGAUGAACAUGUUCCAGUCGGUUACAAGUGCUUUGGACAACACUCUGGCCAGUGAUCCGACAGCAGUCAUCUUCGGGGAAGAUGUUGCCUUCGGUGGAGUGUUCCGAUGCACAGUGGGUCUGAGAGACAAAUACGGUAAGGACAGAGUCUUCAACACUCCCCUUUGUGAGCAGGGGAUUGUGGGAUUUGGCAUCGGCGCAGCUGUUGCUGGGGCCACAGCCAUUGCUGAGAUCCAGUUUGCCGACUACAUCUAUCCUGCUUUUGACCAGAUCGUCAAUGAAGCAGCCAAGUACCGCUACCGGUCUGGCAACUUGUUCGACUGCGGCAGCCUCACCAUCCGAGCUCCGUGGGGGUGUGUCGGCCACGGGUCACUCUACCACUCCCAGAGCCCCGAGGCCUUCUUCGCCCACUGCCCUGGCAUCAAGGUUGUAAUACCUCGUAGUCCAGUGCAGGCCAAGGGACUGCUCCUCGCCUGCAUCGCUGACCAGAACCCCUGCAUAUUCUUUGAGCCCAAGAUCCUGUACAGAUCAGCAGUGGAGCAGGUUCCCGUGGAGUCCUACACCGUCCCUCUCUCGCAGGCCGAGGUCCUACAGGAAGGAAGUGAUGUCACUCUGGUUGCCUGGGGGACACAGAUCCACGUGAUGAGGGAGGUGGCCAAUAUGGCUCAAGAGAAACUGGGAGUGUCUUGUGAGCUCAUCGAUCUACAGACCGUCCUGCCCUGGGAUGUUGAAACGGUUUGUAAGUCAGUGGUGAAAACCGGACGUUUGCUGAUCAGCCAUGAAGCGCCAAUAACCGGAGGCUUUGCUGCUGAAAUUAGCUCUUCAGUACAGGAGCAGUGCUUCCUGAACCUGGAGGCUCCCAUCAGUAGGGUCUGCGGUUACGACACCCCCUUCCCUCACAUCUUUGAACCCUUCUACAUCCCAGACAAGUGGAAGUGCUUUGACGCAAUUAAGAAGAUGAUCAACUACUGAACCCCCCCUGUCAGAAACAGACCCGGUCUGACUCUUCCAGUGACUGAGAACAAUCCUUGAAGCGCCAAUAAAGCUCACCAAUAGCCAACUUCUGGUAGCCCUGAACUCCACGCUCUCUCCUUUUUCCUCUUCAUUUAUCAAAUCAGUGGAGCGCAUCCAGGAAAGGACACUUUGUUGACCGUCCAAUCAGGAAGCAGUAUCCAGAUGGGCUCCAUGUCCCUCAUUGUCUUCCAGCUAAAAGACUGUUACAGCACCUCUGCAUUUGGGAACUUCAUUGUUUUGCAAGGGGGGAAAAAAUGAUAUAUAUGGUGAAACACUGCUUUGGUAUCAUAUGCACAUAAUUUGACUUCCUCUUAGAUAAGUGUGGGAUACUUCGGGGAGAACUGUCAGCGUAUUUGAUUGAAUUUAUUGUGUUUGACUGCCUCUCUGUGCCGUUACCUUUGCUCUAAUCUUUAUUUAGUUUGACCUUAACUGAACCGCGUUGUAUUAAUGUAGUUUAUCUGUGGUUUUUAUGGAAAAUAAAGUAAUGAGAUUUGGUGAAAA